UUCUAAAACAUAAUAUUCAUUUAAAUUUAAAAAAUUUGAUAUAUUUAUCUAAAUUUAAAUAUUUUUCUCUACACAGUUUAUUUUAAAACCCAAGAAUAACAUUUUUGCAUUUAUUAUCUAUAUUUUGUUUUAAACAAAUUUAUCACAGUCUUAAAAUACAAUGUUUUCUAAUAACUAUCAUCAUGAAUUCCUAAAAAAAAAAAAUCAAUCACAUUAGAGGAAUAAGUAAAAGUAAAGUGGACAUUGACUGUUAAUGUCGAUUUAGUCGAUUAAUGUCGACAGUUAAAAACAACAUAAGGAGAAAAUAUGUCGAAUUUGUUGAAAUUUAAUUAGUCCAAAUAUUACCAACUAAGUAAUUUUUUUUUCUCUUUUUUUCUCGUGAAAAAUGUUUAUAAUUCUGAGUAAGUACUAUAUUUAGAAUUAAUUGUUAAAAUAGUUAUAUUACCAGUCUGUUAAGUAUUAUAUAAGAUUUAAGUCACUAAUGUAACUCGGUACCUACUAAAAUUUCAAACACGACUUUGUUUCAUCAGGUACCUAAAUAAUUUUCAAAGAUAAAUUAGUAUCAUUUAAAAUUCUUUGAAACAUACGUAAUUAGUUUAAAAAUCUAUUGAAUUUUUUUUAUGUAAUAUGUAAGACUAAUAUUUGACCAUGUUGCAUCGAACAAACUGCCUGUAUAAAUCUUGAAAAAAAAAAAUGCUGAUUCGUGUAGAAUAACUAUUAUGAGAAGAUUAAUCCUUGAUACAUUUCCACAAUAUGUCAAUAUACUAUAAUGAGUCAAUUUGGAAUUGUCUUGUCAUCAAGAAAUUAGUUUUAUUUAAUUAAGUAUACAAAUUUAGAGUUAAAAUUAACAAAUUCAAGGAACAAAACAUUCAAAGUAGAUAUUCGUGAUUAUUAGCAACCUAGUAUCAAUAUAUUCAGGCUAUGGACUACAGUAUUAACAUGUUAGUUAUUUUAUUUUAUUCAAUUCUACCCUAAAAUUAAAACUGUUUGAAAUAAAUGGCCAACAGAAGUCGGAUUUUUAAUGACAAAAUUGUAGCACAAAGAUAUCAUUCCAUUUUCAUACAUUUUUUUGAUAAGAAAAUGUGCAGCACACUGAAAUACUAUCGAAUAUAUUCAUUUCAUAAAAACAUUUUAUUAGAAGCAGGUAUUAAAUUUUAUUAUAUUUUGGUAAAUAACUAACUUUGGAAGACUGCAUAACCAACCGUGUUCAUUUGUUGGCUUAAAGUUACCAUUACUCCAAUAUCAAGUUUAAGCUAAUGGCUGCAGGAGCAGAAACAAUGAAGUCAACUAUGAAAAAUAAUAAUAAUUUUUGUACACAAGUGUAUACAUUGUCGUGCAAGUGCAUAGCUAAGAUAUGGUUGGGCCACUUUUAUCUUUUUUAUUGUUCGGUGGCCACCCUACUUUUUUGUUAUUAAUAUCCUCAAGGCUGAUUGAGUCAAAUCUUAAGUUCAACAAUAUAACAGGCUUGUUCACACUUCAACCUAAAGUAAGAGUAACAAAACUUAAGUUUUAUGAAAAAUCAAUUAUAUUUGUGUUAUAAAUUAUGUAAUCUUUUGUCUGUCAGAUAGGUGCAGUAAAGUCCAACAGCCUAGUAAAUUUUGAACUUUAAAUAUUGUUAUUUUUUUAAAAAAAAGAAAAGUAAGGUUUUUUAUGAAUGCAGACUUUACCUCAGAUCUUUUCCAUUUAAAAAUUUAGGAUGUAAAAAUAUGAAAAAAUCAAAUAAUAUGGUAAUAUUAAUAAUAAUAUUACCAUGGGGACUGGUAUGGUGCAGAGUUGGCUGCGGGUUAAGCAUCUUUCUGCAUUACUAGCCCCUAGAUGGGUGAUCCCCAGGGUUUUAGCGACGAAUCUUUGCCUCACAUAGACAUAUGUUCCUCAACCACCCGUAAUUUCCCACAAAAUGCUAAAGACCAUAGUGGUCCAUGAUUAAUACCAAUAAAAAAGGGCUAUUAUAAUUGCUAAAAAAAUAUUAUUAUUUUUUUAUUGUGGUUUUUACAGUUGAAUAACAAUUUCUUCAAAUCGAUAAAUGCCAUAGAAAAAUAAGGCAACUAACGCACAAAAAUUAUAACGUUAUUUUUUCAUAAUCAGAGUUUCAACAAUAUUAUUAAUUGCUAAUUAAACUAAAGUUCAAGAUUUCCAGAUUAGAAUAUAAAUAUUAAAAAUAUUAUUACAUAAAGAGUACGCUGUUAAUUAUGAAGAAACUGCUCAGCAAGACUGAUCAAAAUCUUAACUAAACUUAGUUAUUGACUCUAUCAAACAAUCCGAAGAAAAGGUGUUUGGGUUAUCAUUUCCUAACCUAACCAGGACACAUAGUACAUAUAACAAUCAGUCGGCAAAACAUUUCAUUUGACCAUAAUUGGGUCACAAAAAUCAUACUUAAUGAUGCAAUCAUGUCAAACUUAUUAUUUGGUCAAAUAAUCGAUUACUUGAAUAAUGUUUUCAAGUUAUAGAUUAAAUAAAUAAUAAAAAAAAAAAAAAAUGUACUCAAUGGUCCUUUAUACAACUUUUUUUAAUGUUUCCUUUCCGUUUUAAAUACUGAUUUGUACAAUGUUUUUUUUUUAAAUUUAUGUUUUAGUGGUAAUGUUUCCUAAUUUAUUAUGGUCGUUAUUGAUCUCAAUAUUAUAAUAAUUUAUAAUUUUUGUGCUGCCCCUUUGAGGAUUAAUGUAAAUAAUAACAGUAAUAAUUUUAAGAUUUUAUUUAUACUACUAUUAUUUUCAUUAUUAUUAUUAUUUUUUUUGUUAUAGCUUUCAUUUGUUAUUAAUAGUAUUGAUAAUCCAAAUGUUACAUUAUCUUUUGUACAGGGGAACUAUAAUAUAACAUAGGCUAUUAAAAUAAAAAUACAUUCAAUUAUUUAAUAUUUUAAAAAG